UACAGAGGGGGCGAGCGUUGUUCGGAAUUACUGGGCGUAAAGGGCGCGUAGGCGGCCUCUUAAGUCGAACGUGAAAUCCCCGGGCUCAACCCGGGAACUGCGUCCGAUACUGGGGGGCUUGAAUCCGGGAGAGGGAUGUGGAAUUCCAGGUGUAGCGGUGAAAUGCGUAGAUAUCUGGAGGAACACCGGUGGCGAAGGCAGCCUUCUGGCCUAAUACUGACGCUGAGAUUCGAAAGCGUGGGUAGCAAACAGG
rnacentral:rRNA from 1 species